rnacentral:lncRNA from 1 species
CAUAACGUGCCGAGAAAUUCAUGUGUCUCCCGGUAGAGCUCGCACUAUUUAUUUCAUAAUGUUGUGGGAGUUAUAAUCAUAUUACCUACACUUAUACAUCUACUGGGGUGAGACAUGCAUGUAAGGUUGUGCAAAAUGCAUGCCUUACAUGGUUUGAUGCCUUGACCAGUUCAUGUGUUGAACUUGGGGUGCUACCAUGUGUUGAUUUGUCACCCUGAUCCACUUUGAACGACAUGAAUGUUCUGUAUAGAAAAUUAUGUGUUCAUUUGUCCAAAUUGUAUAUCCUUGGAUUUUGAUAGGAUUGUGUAGGCAUAUCUACUAUGUGUAGAUGCACAUGCCGUGUCUAUCGUAUCUUUGAUCCAAUAUAUGUAUAUGGUAAAUUAGACGUAUCCAUUAAAAGAUUAGGGUGUGCUUGAAAGUAAAACUUAUAUCUAUAUGCACAUAACUGAGUGAUCUUACCCUAUAUAUAUAUUGUAGUUGGACUAACUACUUCGGACCCAAUAAGUUUGGGGACCAUAUUGUGCUUAAUUGGUGGUUUAGGUACUUUGGAGAAGCAUUGCUAUCUUGACUUAUUCUCAGAAGAAGAUAGUGUUGGUCACGAAGAAAUUAGAGUCAAGACACGACUCGGCUACUUCUACGCCAUGCCAAUGCUUUUCCGAUAACAAGUAUUUACUUCAUGCAUGUACAACAUUAGAGUCAACACUGUGUAGGUUGCAUCAUGGCAUGAACAUAAUACUUUUUCCACUUUGUAAUUCCCUGCAUGUCCCUAUCAAUCACAUUGAUGAAAUGCUUAGUGUUGGUGUUCUCUUAGCUCUUCAUGGUCAUAUGAAUGAGACAAAUUUGUGCCAUGACCCUUGUGUCAUGUGC